rnacentral:rRNA from 1 species
GAGUUUGAUCCUGGCUCAGGACGAACGCUGGCGGCGCGCCUAACACAUGCAAGUCGAACGAGAGAGAGGGAGUUUGCUUCCUCAAUCGAGUGGCGAACGGGUGAGUAACGCGUGAGGAACCUGCCUCAAAGAGGGGGACAACAGUUGGAAACGACUGCUAAUACCGCAUAAGCCCACGACCCGGCAUCGGGAAGAGGGAAAAGGAGCAAUCCGCUUUGAGAUGGCCUCGCGUCCGAUUAGCUAGUUGGUGAGGUAACGGCCCACCAAGGCAACGAUCGGUAGCCGGACUGAGAGGUUGAACGGCCACAUUGGGACUGAGACACGGCCCAGACUCCUACGGGAGGCAGCAGUGGGGGAUAUUGCACAAUGGGGGAAACCCUGAUGCAGCGACGCCGCGUGGAGGAAGAAGGUUUUCGGAUCGUAAACUCCUGUCCUUGGAGACGAGUAGAAGACGGUAUCCAAGGAGGAAGCCCCGGCUAACUACGUGCCAGCCGCCGCGGUAAUAC